GAAACUAUUGUUCUUUUGUAGUGCGGGCCACGGAGACGACGAGGUGGCCGAGCUGCCUGUGGCGCCGUCGCCGUACCUCACGACCCAGCAGGAGGUGUGUCGGCCGCAGAGACGGUAGAGGUCUCAUCCGCUCACUCUCUCGCCGCCGCAGGAGGAGUGCGCGCAGGGGGGGUGGCGGGUCAAGGUCCGCUCGCCGGCGCCACCCGCUGAACGAUGAAUCCAUGCGCACCCUCUCCGAUGACCUCCCGGGCACGCCACCGCUGGCAACGGUGAGGACAACACACCCUGUCCACCAUCGGCCACCAGCAGUAGCAGGACCACCACUGUUGCCUGUCCUCUUUGAUGCAAGAUCCACGCUGCUCCACUUCGUCCAGUCCCUUCUCUUGACAGAGAGUACCUGCAGCCCACAUGAACUCCAGUAAAAUCCUCGACCAAGGUUCGCUAGGGGCUGCAUCGUCCAGUAAUAAGAAGAUGCAUUCACCAAUCAAGGCAUUCUCCAUUAGACUUAUCUGGCAUUAACUUGCGAUGAUGGCGAUCUUAAAUCAUUCUUAUCUCAAGGGUCAUAGCUGCUGCCGUCACAUGCUUUAGGCGUGUCUACACUAGGUAUGGUUGUCGGAGAAAGAAUGCCCCUCUGAUCUCCAAUUGCCCUUUCUGAAUUUGACUAUUUUUUACUAGCUGGAGAAAUGAAAGCAUCGCAUUAAUUUUUAGUUUGUGAGAUGUGCUGCUAAGAAAUUAGCUAUAUUCUUACAAUCUAAGAUACUCAGCUUACAGCGCGGUAAGAAGCGUAUACCGUGACUGUACGUGUUCAGGUGUUUCUCAAAAUAUUCCUCAUCUGUACAGGAGGUAUAGCGGCCAGCGACCAGGAGGUAUAGCGGCUAUGCAAGUGAAUUUAAAUUAUUUCUCAUCUGUACAGGAGGUAUAGCGGCCAGCGACCAGGACAGAAAAAUAUUGUAUCUGUUAAUAUUGGAUCAUCCAAAUUGAAAUUCGGUUUAUAUUAUUCAGUCUGCAUUCUAACAAACAUGUUCUAUUUGGCAUCAUACUAUCAUUCAACUUAAAAGAUGGCUUAACCCGUUAACCCAAGUUAAAAUCUCAGGAAGAUGGUGGUUGUUCACCCUGACAUUUGGUUUAGUUCUGGUUGACAUGCUCAGUUGCUCCACGUCUGUUAGAUAUUAAAUAGUCUGGUUCUUCUUUCUGUAAAGUUUGGCAAUUUAAAAACCUUUAUUGAGUUUUGCUUUUUUAGUUGUAUCAGGUGUUCUCCUGCUUAGUCUAAAUCAGAUAGGGACUUUAAACAUAUUUAGUUUAAAUAAUGACAUGCUUUUGUACUAUUAUUGACUUUCUUUAUCUCCUUCUGUUAUCACUAAUAAUGUUUUGCUUAAUUAAACAUCAUGUAGAUCUUCUUGCUUCGUGCAUUUUUUCAAUACUAAUCUUCUUGCUUCGUGCAUUUUUUUAUUUCACUCGAUGUUGGAUGCUCUUCAUGUCCAUGAGGCCCUGGUCAUCGGCAUCGAUAGAACUAUAGUCAGGCCUUCUGCUGAGCAAGCUCUGUAACUGCUACAAGGAACCUUGGUUGGUGGUCAGAAUGUGAGGCUUUCAUCGAGAAGAAGACCUUUGAACAAACAAACUCAGGUUAAUUCUUGUGUACGGAGCUUAUAUCCUGUCUUGAGUUGUAUAUAUACUAGAGGUAAAGUAGGUAAUAUAUAACAUGUGAACAUUUCCUCAGGAAGCCAGCCAGUUGUAUGUCCAGUUCUCCACUAUAAAAUUGUUUGUGCCCUGCCUGUUUUCGCCUCUUUCUUUGAUAUAUAAAAGUGCCUAGAACAUAAACGAGUGUGUUUCUAUAUUUACUUUCCCUUUAGGAUGGUGGAAAUUCAUAUUCUAUUCAAAAGCACUUCAUGUACAUGGUCAAAUGCUUCAGAAACAGUAGUAUGCUACUUCACUUUUUAUCUUCCUGGGGGUUCUGAUUCAUCUGUAUUAACUAAAGAAGCUUGCGAUAUUAUUUUCAUUAGCACAGUGCAAAUCAAACCGAAAAAAUACACAUGCUUGCCCUUUGUAAAGAACCACUAUUACUAUAUAUGCUCUACUUUGUACAGAAUCAUAUGUAUAUUAUGCUUGCCCCUAAAUUGUUGCUUUAUGCUGAACCACUAUUACUAUAUUAUGCUUUGAUAUGAGAUUUGGUGCUUGAAUCAAGUAUUUAUGGAGACCAUGCCCUUAUGCGAGUCUUCAGGCCUUGCUGGGUUGUUUUAUUGUUCUGAAGGCAUCAUCAUGUGUGAUUGUAGUUACAUUGUGUCCUUCACACGUACAUCCACCAUCAAUCAGGUAGACACUCCCUUUUUUCCAAAUAAAAUCAAGUGAAUGUUGUACUCCCAAACCAAUUAGCUCGUUUCGGUUUGAUAAAUAUCGUGCAUUGAUCCAUGCACUUUUGACAAAUUUAUAUUCUCAUGACAUCUCCGGUUUACUUCCGUUCUUUUUUUGUGCUUCUCGGAUUAGAGACAUGGAACAUGUCAUCAUUUUGUCAGACUAAGCGUGGAGCUACUUGUGCAAGUUACACCAUCAGCAAACACAUGAAGACCUGCAUGCUAUCAUCGCAAGUUGAGCAUUUACAUGCUCUAAGUUAAUCUGAUAGGGAGAAAACAAAGGCUUGUGUGCCCAUUAGUAAUUUUUUGUUUUAUCAUAGUGGGCACCUUAUCUAUCUGUAACAUGUGACCUGUGCAACUGCAAAGGUGUUGGGCGAUAAAAAUUCUGUGCAACA